GCUUGUGCAAAAACCAUGAGCAACUCAUCACGUGAAGCCUUAUCUCCUACUUUGUCCAGUUCUGCUCAUUAAAUGGUGGAUGUAAUCUAUUCAAUCUAUGCUUCAAUUAUAUAUAUAUCACAACUCCAACCGAUGGAAAAUACCAAAACCCUGUAAUCACCAGCUUCAAAAGACACGUUUCCAAAGUAAUGUUUUGCCAAAAUGUUAAACAUAUGCAGAUCUUCCUCUUAAACCAAUCUUAUAAAAUAGAACUAAACAAACAAAACAAAACAAAUAAACAAAAGCUUAAAAUUCGCCGCAGUUGUACAGUUUACAUUUAUCAUCAAAACAAUGAAUAUCAAUGUGAAUUAGACAGUCCAGUUUAAAUUACUUUUAUAGUACAAACUGGAUCUUACUGGUUAUUUGUCUAAAACAUUCAACAUGCUUUCCUUAAACAAAAUUCAAAAGAGUUAAACCUGGAGAAAUUAUAAUGUCAACUUAACAAAUCUAGACAUUUUCAAAAUAUACCAAUUUUACCUAGGUCUUUUACUUGUCGUUGAAUUUAAAGUUUUAUUCAAAAUCGUUUUAAAUGGAUAUAAAUCAAAACAAAAUCAAGUUUAGAAAAAUCCCCAUAAUCCCACCUGAGUACUUUUACUGAUUAGUGAUAACUUUAAUCAAUAACAGAUUCUUCAAAACAUUUCUUAAAACAUUCUUGCUCCAUUAAAUUAAUGCUCUGAAAAUGGCUAACACAAUAAUAUUUUUAAUUUCUAUAAUUGUUUUCCCAAGUUAAUUUACCAAAAUAUGCUUCAUUAAUCGCUAUAAAUUUGUUAUCUAUCGUUUCAAAAUACUUUAGCCCAUUGUCAGAACAUCUUUCAAUGGAGAACGACUCAAAUCCAUUCAAAAGAAACAUAUUUCACCAGACCAUAUCUUUCCUUUCACUUUUUUAUGUGUAACACAGAUCAAACAUGUUCUUCAAAUAAAAAAAAUUUUAUUUAAGUAAUAUAAAAGAUAAACCUAGAACAUAUUCUCCCCCCUGAUGAUGCAUUAACUGCUAACGCAUCACAAUUUCUACUACUUUAAAUAACAAUGUUUAUGAAACAGGUUUAUGAUGUUCCCUGAGAAAUUCUACCAAAUUCAAUGCUGCCUUUUUCCCAAAAGGGAAACUCGUCAAAACAAACAAAACAAUUUAUUUUAGCAUGCUUUAAAUCUUCAAGAUUACUAUUUUCCCAAAACACUUCACAUUACAGUUUUAAAGCUCCUUAUCUCAUUUUACUCUUAUGAUUGUCAGAUAAUUCAUUUUACAAACUCCUCAAAAAUUUUCACUAGUGUUUGACAAAGCGUGUUUACCAAUUAAGACUCUGUGAAGGGUUUGCAUAAAUCAGCCAGAGAGACGUUGAAGAAAA